GAUGAACGCUGGCGGCGUGCUUAACACAUGCAAGUCGAACGGACAUAUGGAGCUUGCUCCAUAUGUUAGUGGCGGACGGGUGAGUAACGCGUGAGCAAUCUGCCUUUGUCUGGGGGAUAACAUUCAGAAAUGAGUGCUAAUACCGCAUGAGACCACGCACCGGCAUCGGUGAGGGGUAAAAGAAAUAUCGGACAAAGAUGAGCUCGCGUCCCAUUAGCUAGUUGGUAGGGUAACGGCCUACCAAGGCGACGAUGGGUAGCCGACCUGAGAGGGUGAUCGGCCACAUUGGAACUGAGAAACGGUCCAAACUCCUACGGGAGGCAGCAGUGGGGAAUAUUGGGCAAUGGAGGCAACUCUGACCCAGCAACGCCGCGUGAAGGAAGAAGGUCCUCGGAUUGUAAACUUCUGUCGUAAGGGAAGAAGAAUGACGGUACCUUACAAGAAAGCCCCGGCUUACUACGUGCCAGCCGCCGCUGUAAUAC
rnacentral:rRNA from 1 species